UAGGAAUCUGCCGUGGUAGGUGGGGGACGAACGUUUACGAAAGGAACGCUAAUACCGCAUACGUCCUACGGGAGAAAGCGAGGGGACCGUUCGGGCCUUGNGCUAUCAGAUGAGCCUAGGUCGGAUUAGCUAGUUGGUGAGGUAAUGGCUCACCAAGGCGACGAUCCGUAACUGGUCUGAGAGGAUGAUCAGUCACACUGGAACUGAGACACGGUCCAGACUCCUACGGGAGGCAGCAGCG
rnacentral:rRNA from 1 species